rnacentral:rRNA from 1 species
UACGUAGGGGGCAAGCGUUAUCCGGAUUUACUGGGCGUAAAGCGCGUUCAGGCGGUUUGGCAAGUCGGGCAUGAAAUCUCUCGGCUCAACCGGGAGAGGUUGUCCGAUACUACUGGACUUGAGGGCAGUAGAGGGUGGUGGAAUUCCGGGUGUAGUGGUGAAAUGCGUAGAUAUCCGGAGGAACACCAGUGGCGAAAGCGGCCACCUGGACUGCACCUGACGCUGGCACGCGAAAGCUAGGGGAGCGAACGGG